rnacentral:lncRNA from 1 species
AAAUCCGAAUUUAGUAUCCAAAAUGGUGUCAGAUGUACUAAUGGCGCUCUUUCUCAAUACCCUUGUUGAAAGCGCGGAAAAUCUUUUUCAAUUUUUUCGACAAUUUGUCACAAUAUUAUCAUGUGAGGUGUGAAAUAUAUGUAUUUUUCAAUUAUAAACCCAGAUACAAAAUCCAAAAUAGCAUCGGAUGUACUAUUAGCGCUCUUAAUCCUUCAUCGGCUUUACCAAUUUUAGUUCUUAUCAGCAUUCCAUUCAUCCUCGGCAGUAUACGUUCCCAUAUAACUUUUUUAUCCUCAGACGUGCAGGAUAUUGAGUUAAACAAACGAUUCUUAUACUAAUAAUACAUUAGAGGUUACACUCAUACUAAUAAUACAUUAGAGGUUACACAGAACAGCCUUUUUUCAUAGCUUUGCAUAUGAUAUAAGGUUCAGAAAAAAAUCUGAGGCAGGCGAAUAACUUUUGCAUGGGAAGAAUGAAUCGUUUUCGUUUUUUCCAUACACAGAAUUUCGGCAAUAAUUUACUACCUAACCAAUGUAUUUUUGAUACAGCAAAAUAGAAAUUUGAUCUCGGACGCUGCUUGUUCCAUCGUAUUCUUUUGCCGCAAGAGAUAACAUCUCAAGAUCUUUCUUGAUGCUUACAUGAAAUAUAUGUAGGUAAUGGAACAAAAUCAUAGGAAUAGAUUUUACUAACGAAUGAUGGAUAAUUUAAAAAUAGGAAACACUACUGUGUCUUAAAGGUCUUAAUUUAAAUUCCUAUUGGCCAACUGCUUUUGUAAAUAAAGCAAAUUUUGUAAAGAAAGC